ensembl:lncRNA
UUCUCACCACCUGAAUGGAUCUGACUCUCAGCCAGUCUUGACUGUAUCAAACAGAUGUGUUAUAUUGAGCUGUUCCCAACAUUCAAUUGUUAUGAUAUAAGGCCAACCACUUUCAGAUUCCAAUUCUUUCUCGAUUCUUUAAAAUAUGGCCCUUUAGCCUCAACCAGGUCCCUGUCUCCACCCUCAACUAUUCCUUGACUUCAUUCCAUUUAUUCCUGACUUUGUGUAUUCACUUAGGGCUCUGCCUACAUACAGAUCAAACACGCUGAUCAACAGCUCCUUCUAUAUUUUAAAAACUCAAUCCCAAAUUCCUUAAGGUGAACCCAAGCUUCUUUGUCUGCCCCCUUUCUUCUCUAAAGAAGUCAAAUGUUUGACAGAGUCCAUGACAACACGAGAAGAGGAUGCUUUUCCGACCCCCCUCCACUGCCCUUCCCCUUUUUCCGGUCUAGAAUAUCCCCAGUCCUUACCCCAUCCUACAGUUGCUUCUUUCAGUUUCAGGGAGGUCUAUCUUAUUUCUCCAAUCAGAUUAUAAAUGACUUGAGGGUGUGGAACAGGUCUUGGCCUUCAUUUGGGUUCCUCGUAGAGCUAACAGCUAAUACUACGCUUUAGUAUUCAAUGAAUGCCUAGAAAAGAACAUUGGAUUAAAUUAACUGAAUUCUGAAGUUUCACCACGCAGAAAGCAUGCCUAGUGUAGUAUUUCUGCUUUCAUGGCAAAAGUAGGAGUGAUGGCAAAGUCAAUUUCAGUGGAUAUUCUUGACAGGAUCAUCAAGAUGAGAUGGACGUCGAUAUCAGCCAUGUGCUAACUCCGGUUUUCCAACACAGGCCACUCCUUCAGACUUGAGGCUGGUAAUAAAUCAUUCACCUGUGACACCAAGCAUUUAGCAGAGGAGCCUCAUUUUAGAAAGCAGGAAGAUCCGGAAGGUUGGAAAUAAAGUCUCCUCUGUAAACCUUGUCCAGUUAUAAGCACCUAGUAGGUACUUAAUAAAUGUUAACAACACAUGGAUGAAUAUAAGACUAGAACUUCCACCAAGGAUAAUUGCACAGACCAAGUACCAUUCAUUUUCGUAAGACAAAGAAAAGAGUUGCAGAAAAGAGAAAAACAUGUCUUGUUGGAGGUUUACAGAAACAUCACGACCAGACCUACAUGGAUAGCUGCAAGAACAAACGAUUCUGAUGUGAAGAUGUUUACAGCAAUUAACCACAUGCCCUCCCCUUUUGGUAUAAGAGAAGUCUGAAUUCUAACUCAGGUAAAAUGGUUCUUUGGGACACUUGUCCACCAUUUUCUCAGUCUGCUAGAUUUCCAAAUGAAAUCUUUACUUCUUGCCCCACUAACUCAUCUCUCAAUUUCCUGGCCCAUUGUGUGGUGAGCAGUAUGACCUUGGACUCACCAACAAAAAGAGAUCAGUUUGGGUGCUGUUGUAAAACAGAACGUAUGAUAUGUGUGGGGGUAUUAAACAAAAGUGGGAAACCAAUCAGGAGAUGAGUACAAUCCAUGAAGAGAUGGGGUGACCUGGACUGAGGUGGUAGUGGAGAAUUGAUGAAGAGUGAUGGGAUUCUAGACAGAUCUGGAAUUAAAGAUAACAGAAUUCCAUCACUGAAGAUGUAGAGUGUGAGAGAGGCAUCAAGGAAGACUCAAGGUUGGACUGAUGCUAACUAAAUAUUAUUUGCUAUAUAUUGUAUGUUGUCUAUUGAUGGGUUUGCUGUUAGCUAUAGUGGGGAAGUCUGUAGGAAGAACAGAUUUGGAAGAGAAAGUAAGUUCACAAUAUGAGUUUGUUUUUUAAUUUGUUGCAUUUGAAAUGUGGACUUCCAAGUGGAGAUGUCUGGUAAAUAGUUGGAUGUAUAAGUUUGGAGUUCAGGGGGGAAAUCCACAGAGGAAAUAUAAAUAUGGGUAUUGUCAGUAUAUUCGUAUUUUCAGUUAUGAGAUCCAGUCAAGUCAUUUUCCAAACAAAGGAGCUGCAGGCACCCUUGCAAAACAGAAAGCAGAUCUGAGCUGCUAUAUAC